rnacentral:lncRNA from 1 species
CCACCGUGAUAGUCGACCUCGUGCUUCGCUCCCACACCUGCUCCGAGAAGGCGCUCCCAGCUUGCCUACGUGGUCGGUUGCUCCAGGUACUUGUGGAUUCAGGCAUUCGCAACUGUGAACUCGAGUUUAACAAACGGUAUAUCACUGCUGGAUGGUGAACACACACAGUGGUGCUUUUAUUGAUAGAAAGUCAGGAUCCUUUCUCUUAAGAGGCUACUGUAAGAAAUGGUAACUUGGGGCAUGACUUGCAAGAAAGGGAUUGUAUGACAGAAUGAUAUUACUUCAUGGUAGAGUUUCUGCAUCUGGAGAUCAAGUUUUAUCUUGGUGUCUCAUGUCAGUUUUAUUGUGUGUGUGUGUGUUUCAGUAACACAUUUACUGUUCUGAUGAUCUUGCAAAUUUGUGAGCCGAAGAAAUGAUGACUUAGAUACUUGCGUUCUGAUAAGUAUGCUGAGCAGAAAUAACAGGCGGUCAUCUGUUAUAUGAUAUAUUAAAUUAAAUGAUGAUUUUUUAUUAGGUGCAGUUUAGAAUUUUGAGUGUACAAUGCAUCCUGUAAUGAGAGACCACACACUUAAAAGUUUCUUUAGAUUGAAAAUGGCUGUAUCUGCUUGCUAAAUCCUAAUUGCUAUCCAUUCCAGUACAAUACUUAUGUAGCUCAGUAGUCUAGGUUCGAGCAUGAGAGUCGUUUUCGAAUUGGAGAGAAAAAAUAUAAUUUGGGGUGAUCCUGUUUUCCUACUGUCUAAUCUUGGAGUAAGCUUAUCCUGAAUAUAUGUGAACUCUUUUGGCACUUUGUGGUUCUCUUUAGUCUCUCCGGUUAAUAUAACCAGUUCAUUAUUAUUUGUAUGUUAUUUGUCUUUCACAUGAAGAUUCAUUCUUUCUGGUUGUUUAGAAAGGACAAAUAGAUGUCGAUCAGUUUGAGCGUGCGGGAUAGCUUAUGUGUGUCUGUUGUUUGGAGUGGGCAAUUCCUGUGUUUUUCUUCUCACACUUCAGUUCUAGUCAUACAUGCAAGAAAGGAAACUGGGUUAUGUAUGUUCAUGCCAAAUAAACAUCAGGAGGUAAUGAUGACCUGUUGCUAACUUCUGCCAAGCCAUUCUUAAGAAUGUUGUUUGUUUGCAGGAUGUAGCUUGGGAAGGUCAGACUGUUGGAGUUGUAGCAGUUGUAGAUUUCUUCAAGGCAAAAAUAAAGCAUUUGCACUUGGUGAUAUGAAAAAGGUUAGCUUUCAGGUUUUGUUUCAGCAUGCUGUCACUCCUUAGCACUAAUUAUUACAUACUAAUUACUACCUGCACGUGCUUCUCGCUCCGGUCAAGAGGUAUUAUCAGUUGGGUGUGUGCGUACUCAAACUUUUAAACUUAUAUAUCUGUAUCUACAUGACUAUUGGGAAUUUGAGAAUUGAGACUAAACUUAUGUAAAUGAUAUUAGUAUGUAGAAGAGUGAAAAAACAAUUUAUAACAUUUUAGCAUUAGAAUUUGUGGUCAAGGUUCACGUCUCAAUCAUACCACAUCAAAUUCAUGCGUGUAUAAAGGGCCAGUUUGGUUGGUGUCCACAACUUCAUGCCUGGGACAAAUGGGUGCCUGGAAUGUAGCUUCUUCCCAGUUUCAAGUAAAAAGUAUUCCCUACAAAUGGGUGCCUGGGACAAAUUACCUUUGGUAGCUUUCCACGAAGGCGAGUUUCACAGCCUUUGACAUAUUUAAAUGCAGUAAUGUUCUGCAUUUAAAACAGCAUAAAGAGAUCUUGUGGAACAUACAUAUGUUUACUCGUUUUUCUGCACUGAGAAAUUGUACCAUUGUAUAUUACAAAAUGAGGCAUACACAAUGGAAGUAAUUGCUACUCAGCGGCACCCCAAUUCGCCCCUGAAACUAAAUUUGUCUUCCAAAAGUGUGCUGUGUGGUACAAUAAAAUAUCAUGUGCAUGUAUCCAUAAAAUAUACAUGUAACCGUAUCAUGGUAGGCUAAACCUGCAAAUGAAAAACAAAUAAUGUUAGUUCCAAAAAUAGUUAUAGAUGCAACAACAUAGUAGCUGCAAAGAAGUAAUGGAAUGACACACCCGCCUCAUCUCUCUAAAACAUCUUUGUAGACAAUGUUCUUGGUGCUUUUCCCGGAUUUAUCAACCUCCUUGUUUGGCUUGGCCAAAAUCCAUGUCGUCUCUCUUGACACUCCCCUUGACAAUGCAACAUAUAGCUGACCAUGUGAGAAUACAGGCUCAGGAAGGUAAAUACCAACGUUUGGGAUGGUCUGACCCUGUGCCUUAUUAAUUGUCAUCGCAAAACUUAGGCGGAUGGGGAACUGUUUUCUCUUAAGUUUGAAGGGAAGUGAGAUGUCCUCCAAGGGCGACAUAGGGAUCCUAAGUAUAAACACCCUCUUUCCAGCAUGCUGACCUCCAACAAUCUCCGCGUCGAUUGCAUUAUCCUGGAAGGCUCUGAUUAUAAGUCGUGUUCCAUUGCAUAGGCCAUUAUGAGGGUCGAGGUUCCGAAGCAGAAUGACUGGGCAGUUGACCUUUAAUCUCAAAACAUGCGGUGGCAAGCCAUUUGGUGUGAUCGAGUUCAAAAAAUCAAUUGUGUAAUUAUUUUGCAAGUCAUCCUCGAUUGAGUCGAAGCUAUGAUAUAACUUUUCUUCGCCUGGAAACCUGGAGAUCAUCUUAUCAUUCAGGUCAUCCACAUGAUCAUUCUUGGUCGAAAGAAUUGCACGUGCGCUCAUGUACUCUCUCGAUCUAGCAUUGGCAUGCAGCGAUGGGAAGACAUCUUCAAUGAGCGUGUUAAUAGCUUUUUCAUCCUCAGUAUAGCGGAUCACAAUGUUGUCAGGGAGACGCACAUAGUCGUCGCCAAUUGUCUCUUCUGUUCCAUUGCCGAUCCUUAGGAGGUAUUUGGAGAACCAAGGAUUAGCCUGUGCACGCAUAUUGUGCGUGAGACAUAUCUUGCGGGUCUUCUCCCACAAAUAUGAUCUCAGAAGUGUAGCAUCUGUGAUCUGCGCUCUUGUCCCACGUGCCACAACGGGAAGGACCUGCCUGAAAUCCCCACCAAAGACGACAACCUUUCCCCCAAACGGCAAAGGACAUUCCAUUAUAUCCUGCAACGAUCUAUCAAGCGUCUCAACAGCUUGACGUUUUGUCAUAGCGACUUCGUCCCAAAUUAUUAAGGACGCCUGUUUAAGCAACUCCGCUGUACCGCUUUGCUUUGUGAAACUACACAUGCUGUUGUCAGUGAGCUUUAUUGGAAUUUUGAACCUAGAGUGUGCAGUCCGUCCUCCAGGCAUUAUCGACGCCGCUAUACCUGAUGUAGCAGUUGCAAUUGCUAUUUGGCCCAUGGAACGCAUCUUUGCAAGCAAUGUCUUGUACAAGUACGUCUUCCCAGUGCCUCCUGGACCAUCAACAAAGAACACCUGACUUUUUUGGUUCAUCACAUGAUCCAUUAUGUCAUUGAAACCAGCCAGCUGCUCACUGUUCAAACUGCUAAAUAGAUCUAGAUGUUCUUUGUCCACGGUGACUUGCCUCUCCUCUGUUACCUCUCUGUGCUCACCAUCAUAAGAACCAUCGGUCUCAACCAGAUCUGGAAGUCCAUAGGUUGUAAUAUCCUUUCCCAUGGAUUGCAACAUAUCCCUGAUAUCUCUAAGCACCAUCUGUUCAAGUGUUGCCUCAUUGGAUUGGUUACGACGGUAAUCCUCAGACAUUGAUGCUAGAUUCUUGUCCCACAUUUGUCGGAUUUCUGUUGCCUCACAAAAUACCAGUAUAGUCGCAAACAACCGUCUUAGGGCACAAGGCAUCUGAAAUGUGGCUGCCUCCGUCAUGCAAUCAUCAAGAGUCCUGUCGUGCUCAAUGAGGCCUAAGUGCUCACAUGCCUCCCUGAAGGAACUGCAUGCCUUGCCAUUUACUGUUUUUAAAUCAUCAAAUGAAGUGGCACCCCGGACAUGACUUAGUAGGACACGCAAGUAGUACCUUUCUCCUUCAGUAGGGUGUGCAUACACAAGCCUUCCGACCUGUGAUCUCUUAUUUCUUCUGUUCUGCCACUCCUUGUUUCCAGCUAUCCAUCUAUAAUGUUUUGGAAACUCUCUGUACAACCAUUUUCAUGCCUCUGGAAACCUUCGGUUCAUCUCAAAGUACUCGGUAAGCAUGGACUUGGAAGAAGAUGGUCGAGCGAGAACAUCUUCCAGAUUUUCACAAGAUUUAAAUGCAAUUGUAUGCAUGUUUGGCAAAUGAAGCUGGAGCUGCAGCACAGAUGGACUGACACCAAACAUUUUAAAACCAAAAAUCCUGUAAAUAGCCUCUGGAGGAGAUACAUAUCGUGCAUCUCUAUAUUGUCGGAUUUCAUUGAUGAUUCCACCAUCAUUGAUGAUAUCCUGCUUGAAUGCAAAGGAUGUCCGAUCAUGCCCUUUGUAGAUGUACUUGAACAAGUACUUGACUGCCUUGAUGCUUGAGCAUGCUUCGACAUUAAUGUGGUAGUUGUAUCGCAUAAGCAGAAAAGGGUUGUAAGGGACCACCCAUCUAUUGUCCAAAUUUGCUUCUCUGAUCCUAACUCCACGUCCAUCGUCCCUCCUCCUAUAGAUGGGAUAUGAGUCUUUCCCUUGUUGUGUGGCAUUGCAAAAAUCUCGCGGGUAAUGAAAUCGACACUGUCCAUUAAUCAUGCAAGGACAACUUUUUUUCAACUCACCACAGGGUCCAUGCAUCAUGUGUUUGAUGACCAGAUCAUGUAGAAUGGGGUAUUUUUCUUUGUCAGGUAUCUCUGCAGAUAUCACCCGAUCAUAGGCAUCCGGGGUCGCUAACUUUCUUUUUGCUUUCAUGAUUAGAAGUAUAUGCUCAUGCGGGAGACCUUGUUUCUGAAACUCCGUGACAUGUACAUAAGCCGCAACUUCUCCGAAAUGCUUACCUCUAGUCAGUAAGUCCAUCAUAUCUCGUUGUUUAGCUUUGUAUACUCUUGCCACCAGGUCUGGACGGUCUUGUGGCAGUUGUCUAGGCAACAAUUUCUCAGUUAUCUCCUCCCAAUAAGGAUUGCAAGUCAUUGUGAUAAAAUAAUCCGGUUUACCCCACCGCUGGACUAUUGCCAUUGCAUCUAGAAACCUCCGUUGCAUGUCAUGGUCACCACCCGGAAAUGUACGUGGGAGCACGAUUCUCUUGCCAAUCCGAUCACAGCGUGACUCGCCGACAACGACAGUGUCAACAAGACCCUAUAAUAGUAUACAAGGUUAUAGAAAAGCAUGGAAUGUCCAUAAAGUCGUUGCAUUAUGAUCUAUUAGAAUAUACAAAAGCACGUUACCUGGUAGAGGUCAGCGCGUAUAACCUUCUGAUUUUCCGGCUUUGAGUACCAGUCAAGCCUCAUAGUCUCCAUCUUGAUAUACAUGUCAACAGCCCACUGUUGGAAAAGGUGCACCCCGAACAAGAUGAUGUUAAAAAGCUUCUUCCUGACCUGCAGUUUGAAGCAGUAGUACUCCCUCGCACUAACAAAUUUCCUGGCCUUUGUUGCAUUCACCUCAUUGUCACCAAAAUCCUCAUCUGGGUUAUAUUCAUUGUCAUCUACAAGAUUCACAACAUUUCAAAUUCAAUAUGUUGUUUGCAGGCAUAAUAGUUGACCAUAUAAGAAUUAAAGAUUAAGCAAUGAUGACCGAUACCCGCAGGUAAAUCCGUGGCAUGGUCUUCAUGUGGUUCAAAAUUCCCAACUUGUUCACUUUCUGUAAUGAAGUUUUCAUGUGAUAGAAAAAUGAGAACAUAAGUCUUCAUUCGUAAAUAGCAAGUAUAUAAAUUAAUAGUGCACAUCAUACCUGUAGAUAAAUCAGAGGUUUGGUUUACUUGUGGUGCAGUAUUAUGCGCUGAAUAUUGGGUCGUGUCAUCUACAAGAUUGACAACAUUUCACCUUCAAUACGUUGUUUGCACCGAUAAUAAUUGACCACAUAAGAAUUGAAGAAUAAGCAAUGAUGACCGAUACCUGCAGGUAAAUUUGUGGCAUGGUCUUCAUGUGGUUCAAAAUUCCCAACUUGUUCACUUUCUGUAAUCAAGUAUUCAUAUAACAGAAAAAUGAGAACAUAAGUCUUCAUUCAUAAAUAGCAAGUAUAUAAAUGAAUAAUGAACCUCAUACCUGUAUAUAAAUCAGAGGUUUGGUUUACUUGGGGUGCAGGGUCACCCGACGAACAUUGUGUGGUGUCAUCGAGGGGGCCAACAUAUGGCAUCCUACGAUUCCAACCAGUCUCCCCAUGUGGGGAGAAUAGUGGAUAUGACAAUGGGUCGUAGCACCCAUAGUAUGCUCUAAUAUAUAGGGGCCGGUCUCCUUUUUUUCCAUGUACGACAACACUUCUAUCAAAGCAAUUCUUUGGGUCGCUCCCUUCAACCCAUAUCGCUGCCACUUGAGAAGUCGUUGGGGCAUUGUACCUUCGUUGAUCCAAGUUGAUAUCCGUGUUUAGUGAGAUCCUAUACUCAUCUAGAUUUGGAACAGACCCAAGACUCUUUAAAACUUGUGCAUAAGGGUUAUGCUCAAGUAUUCGCAGAAUCUUUCGUAUGAGUUCUAUAUUAAGAUCUGGAGACCUCAUAGCCCUGUGAACCAAGUCUUGAUCUGUAUCAUAAAUAUAGAGCUGCAAAUGGCGAGGUCCAUUAUCAGCCGGCACCAGACCAUCAAGAGCGUGGUAUAAGCCACCACAUGCACGAAAUGUAUAUACUCCAGUUCCUACCGCAGUGCUUACUCGAUGAUCAAGAGUGACUCCUAGAGUUAUGAAUGAGAAGUGCGAGUGGAAAUAUCGUAUAUGCUCUCUGAAAUAUUUAGCAUCCUCGUCAUCUUGACUUGUAAACAACCGUUUCAGCUCUUUUGGAACGUCUGGAGUAAUAAUAUCGACUUUUCCUUUUCUGCAACAAAAUGCUGGGCCCUCAAAUGGAAACCGCAAUGCCCCACAAUGGCGGCAGUCGGGAACCUUUCUUAGGACAUGGUGCUUUGUAGGUAGGUUUCGGUAAAUGAAUUCAUCGGUAUUUGAUACUGGUGCUGCUCAUGGGCGUCCAAGUUGGUAAGAUUCAUAAGCAAGACCUAGCAUUAAAGAACAAUAUAUAUUAAAUUAUGAAUGAAUACCUAUGAGGCUCAUGGUAAAUUUGGAAAUAGACAAUGGACAUACCUUCGGCCAUAAAUAUUCUAGCUUCCUCAUCAGGCUCAUGGUACACAGAUUCUCCAUUUUGCAAUGGCGCCAAGCAGUCUAGUAGGCAAUAUAUUGGUCAAACAUAAAUGCCACAAAAUUGUCAACGAAGAACCUGAACAGUGAACGACUAAACAUAUAAUGUACCUUCAAAAUUGGGUUGUUGAACAACAGGCUCAAAUAUUCCAUAUGGAUCUUCUAUCUGGUCGUUGCCCACUACGAAAAACCACAAGAUAAGUAGAGCAUACAAAAUCAGGUACUAUAGUAGUCUAGGGUCAUAAAAAUUACUUUGUAGAUCUUGAGUGCUUUGAGUAUCAUCUGGAGACGGUUCUGCAGGGUGUCUCUCAUCAUUAGUUGGUGUCUUCAUUGGUUGACUGGAGCCAUUAAAAGGCUCUAUACCUGAAUAGACGAAAGAGAACCAGGAAUUGCGGUCAAAUAAACACUAUGGACACACUUCCACCAUAACUAAAUGGACGAACUAAACCGGACCUUGAAUUGAGAAAUCUGGGUUACGUAUUCUGCUAAGUUGGGGUGCCUGAACCCCUGAAAGUUGUGUGAGAGGCUCUGCAUUGUGUUCAAUUGACAGUAACUUUCAUUUAGAAGCUGAUUAUAGUUUUGUUCUUGUUUAGAAGAUUACAAACCAAAGCCAUUAAAGCAUACCUUGUGCAAUAUCUCUUACGACGGUGGAGAUUGAUUGCAUGUUAUGACCAAGAGGCAUAGCAACAGCUCUAAUGCGUCCACCAAUUUGUUGUAUCUGAUAUGCAUCAUUCCGGUGCAACCAAUCGGACUCCUCGUCGUAUGUUAAAGUAUUCUCCUUGUCGUGGGGGCAUGUUCAGCUGAUAGAGAUGAAUUUGGUAUAUUUGAUGCUACUGCAUGAAAAUUGUAGAUAACAUCAGUAAUUUUUUUUUGUUAUAUUCGAUAAGAUAACACCAUGCAAUCAAUAUGUUAUGGUAGCACAGAACCUUCAGACGCUAUUUGUUGUAGCUGGGUGACACCGGAUUGUCCUGUAGCUGGUGUGUGUGACACGGUGCUAUCGCUGGUGAGUAGGGUCGUAGUAGCCUUUCUCUGCUCACGUGAUGGGCGUUGUCGUUUUAAUAUUUCAUCCCUAUUUUGUGCAUACCGCUCCCUGUCCCUUUUCCUCCACAUUUCUUUAGGGUCUACAUAUGUAACGCCCUCGAUGCGACUAUAUCUCCCACGUGUUGAAGCACGACUUAGAGACAUAACCGCAUUGAAAGCAAUGUCGCAAAUUAGGUAAUCUUCACACAACCCAUGUAAUACAUAAGGGGAAAAGAUACAUAGUUGGCUUACAAUCGCCACUUCACACAAUACAUAAAUAAAGCAUUACAUCAUCCAGAUACAAUCAAGGCCCGACUACGGAGCCAAAAUAAAAGAAAACCCCAAAUGCGACAAGGUCCCCGAUCGACCCCAACUGGGCUUCACUACUGAUCAACUAGAACGAAACAACACAAAGGACAAGAUCUUCAUCGAGCUCCUCCUUGAGCUUGGUAGCGUCAUCUGCAUGGUUCAACGGCACCUGCAAGCUGGUUUUUGGAAGUAUCCGUGAGUCACGGGGACACAACAAUCUCACACCCUCGCGGUCAAGACUAUUUAAGCUUAUAGGAAGGGUAAAAGGUAUGAGGUGUAGCUGCAGCAAGCGACUAGCAUAUAUGGUGGCUAACAUACGCAAAUGAGAGCGAGAAGAGAAGGCACAACACGGUCGAUAAAAGUAUGAUCAAGAAGUGAUCCUAGAACAACCUAUGUCAAGCAUAACUCCAACACCGUGUUCACUUCCCGGACUCCGCCGAGAAGAGACCAUCACGGUUACACACGCGGUUGAUGUAUUUUAAUUAAGGUCAACUUCAGGUUUUCUACAAUCGGACAUUAACAAAUUCCCAUCUGCCCAUAACCGCGGGCACGACUUUCGAAAGAUCAUAUCCCUGCAGGGGUGUCCCAACUUAGCCCAUGACAAGCUCUCACGGUCAAUGAAGGAUAAACCUUCUCCCAAGACAUUCCGAUUAGACUCGGCAUCCCGGUUCUACAAGACAUUUCGACAAGUUAAAACAAAUCCAGCAACACCGCCUGAAUGUGCUGACAAAUCCCGAUAGGAGCUGCACAUAUCUCGUUCUCAGGGCACACUCAGAUGAGCUCUCCAUACAACUAAAACCAAACCUCGAGUUUCCCCGAGGGGGCGCUGCACAGGACUCUAGUUUGGACCAACACUCAGAGGAGCACUGGCCCGGGGGGGUUUAAAUAAAGAUGACCCUUGAGUCCGUGGAACCCAAGGGAAAAAGAGGCUAGUGGCGAAUGGUAAAACCAAUAUUGGGCAUUGCUGGAAGAGUUUUAUUCAAGGCGAACUGUCAAGGGGUUCCCAUUAUAGCCCAACCGCGUAAGGAACGCAAAAUCCGGGAACAUAAUACCGGUAUGACGGAAAUUAGGGCGGCAAGAGUGGAACAAAACAUUAGGUAUAAGGCCGAGCCUUUCACCCUUUACCAAGUAUAUAGAUGCAUUAAUUAAAUAAGAGAUAUCAUGAUAUCCCAACAAGUAAACAUGUUCCAACAAGGAACAACAUAGCCAUGUUCCAACAAGGAACAAACUUCAUCUUCACCUACAACUAACAACGCUAUAAGAGGGCUGAGCAAAGCGGUAACAUAGCCAAACAACGGUUUGCUAGGACAAGGUGGGUUAGAGGCUUGGUUCAACAAUAUGGGAGGCAUGAUAAGCAAGUGGUAGGUAUCGCAGCAUAGGCAUAGCAAAAGAGCGAGCAUCUAGCAAGCAAAGAUAGAAGUGAUUUCGAGGGUAUGGUCAUCUUGCCUGAAAUCCCGCAAGGAAGAAGAACGAUUCCAUGAAGAAGACAAACGGACGUAGUCGAAUGGGUCCUCACAAACGCGACGUUAUCAGAACCAACCCGAAGAAGCCACACCGGAAAGAAGCACACAACAUAGUAAACAACCAACACAUAAUCAUGGCAUGAUGCACAAUCAAGUAUGAUGCAUGUCCGGUUUAAUGAAGCAUGGCAUGGCAAAGUACACAAACAACACUACAAGUUAAGUGGCGUUGCAUAUUGACGAAACACCACGUGACUUAUUUAGUUCUCUCUCGUUUAUGUACUCAACAAUAUUAAAUGUUGAUAAGCAUGGCAAGAGGUGGAGCAAAUGAAAACUACCUAUCUAGUCAAGUUUAAAUGAGGCCGGAAACAACGAACAACAAUUUCGGAAACUCCUCAUAUGCAUAUAUUAGGUUUGGUACUGUUCUGCCCUAAACAUAAUUUUAGAGUUGUUAAGCAUGCAAAAUAAGGCCACCGUGUUAAACUAGGCAAAAUUCUACCCCAUUUACAUAUAAAGAUUAUUAUAAUCAGAGCUACGGUUAUUUAGUUAUGAAUUAAAUCAUUUUUACAUGGCAUAGGGGAAAAUAUAUGCAAACAGCAUUUUAAACAUUUUAAACAUGGAUGAAAGUGACAUAUUAUUUAUCUACAUAAAAUUCUAAGCAAGAUUCAUAUAUUAAGUUUUUACAUGUGAUGCUUAGUUAAUAAGUUAUUAUAUGCAUGAACUAUGAUGGGUUUUCUGUAAAUCUGCAAACUCCUGGAUAAAUAGAUAAAUCGCAGAUCCUAAAAAAACUAUACGAGCCGAAACAAAGGCCGGCCCACAUUGCAUAGGGGCUCGUGUGCUGCUCACCAUGGGCCAAAGGCCCAGAUCUGGAGUGGUUCGGCUUGACUGGCCGGCCGGGACGAGCUGGGCCUGGCCGAGGCGGUUGCUGGGCGCACGCGGUCAACGCGUGGCUGGACCGAGCGAUGCAGGCGCUCGUUCUGCUCGCACUAAACAGGGGCGCUGGCGGCUGGGAGCAGAGCUCCGGCGAGCGUGGCAAACGGCGGCGAGGCGAGGGACUUGGCGCGGCGGCGGCUUGUGGAAGAGCAACAACGAUGGAACUAGGUGCGGGUGAGGGACUUCGCGCUCGAGACGGACAGGAGGGCGCCGUCCUCGUCAGGAACCCUCGAAGACGACGACGACAGAGACUGCAGCAGGCAACGACGCAGCUUGGGCGGCGGAGCUGGAGCGAGGGAGGCGGCUGAGGGAGUGUGGUUGCCGGAGACGCGAUCCAGGGCGGCGGGAGUUGGGGCUCCAUGGCCACGGCGAGGAGUUCCAUGGGCGGCGGCGCUGUUCGUUCCUGCAGGGAGGCGGGGUGAGAAGCAGAGAGAUCGUGAGCGAGAGAGAGGAACAAAGAAGAAAAAAGGAGAGGUAAAGGGAGGCGCUGGCGUAGAAUCUCAUGUGCAUGCUCGCACACGAGCGCGAGGCUCUCCUCGGGUGGCUCCUGGAGGUAGCGCAAGGUCGAGGUGCUCGAGGAUGGCGCAGGUCGCCGUAGACGAGGUGGCAGAGGCAGGAGACGAAGCUGCUCGAAGCUCUCACAUGGCGGCGUUGAGGGAGCUCGAGAGGAGGCUCGGAUGGAUUGGCUGGAUCUGAACACGAGGAAGGAAAGUGGUUGCUGCGAUUCGUCUCGGGUGGAACUGGAUCGGGAGGGGAUCCCGAUGUGGGAGAGGAGUGGCGGCGGGGAGGGACAAGCCUCCUAGGUUUUAGGGUUAGGCUAGAUUUGGUAGGUGGUGGUCUAUAAAUAUAAGGAAAAGAAGGAGUUUGGAUCCUCCGAUCAAAAUCGGACGGUUCAGAAAGAAUAGGCUAGGGAGUCCAAAUAAGAAAACGGUGACGUUUUGUAGACGUUUGGGGAUGAUCCGGAUCCAACGGUGACGACUGCCCGGGUCGGGUCCGGGACAAUCUCGGACGCGCACGUGAGGGGUUCGAUGCACUGUGCAGAGAGGGUUUCGGACCGUGCGGUCGCAUCAGACAACUCCGGAAGUGAAGAGGGGAAGGAGGAUGGACUAGGUGGGUUGUGGCGAGACUGCGAGGGGAACAAGAGAGAGAGAGAGGGCUCGGCAUCUGUUUCCGGAGACCGAAAACGUCCGACAUUAGACCGGUUAUAAUGGCGCUAUAGUUAAUCGUUGGGGUGUCAAACGAACUCUGAAUGCGAUGAAACUUGACAGGCGGUCUAUCUAUACUAUAAUAAGACCACACGCCAACUUUCAUCCCAUUUCGAGAACAUUUUCCGGCCACUUAUAAAAUACUAUUACGGACAUGUCGCGGGCGCGUGCGAGUGUGUCUGGACUCAGAACGGACAAUGGAAGGAACGGGGAGAACCCGGACGGAUGCAGGUUUUGAAAACAUGAUGAUGCAAUACACAUGAUGACAAGAUAUGCAAUGCAUGACACGCAAGCAACGACAACACAACAACAACGAAUAACUGGAGGACAACUGGCACAUCGGUCUCGGGGCGUUACAACACUCCACCACUACGAGAGGAUCUCGUCCCGAGAUCUAGAAUGGCACCGGAGAGAAAAAUGGAAGAGAAAAGAAGAGGUAAAACUAAGUUGCUUCUUUGACAAACGAGUGAGAACAAAGAACCUUGAAAAGGUUAAGCCAUUACGAGUAAGAAUACAACGGAGAUGAACGAAGUUGAAAGCACUCCGUUAAGAAAGAGGAAUAAGAAAGAACCGAUUUGGGUAGCACUUCGGUUGAAAAGAGAUGAAGACUUGAUAAAAUGAAAGAGCUUAAGCAAAAGGGACACAACACUCCGGUUAAAUGGAUAAACCAAGAAAAUAACAUGAUCCUGACAAAACGAAAAGAUGAAACAUCACAAUGUCUCCGGAAGAAAAGAAUAGAAGUUAGAUCAUUGAAAUAGGAGAAUGGAGAAGAAAAUGCCAAAACCUGCCACAAAAGAGCUCGACAAGGCAUCUUUAGGAGAAGGGUCGAACGGAGUUGUUGGGAAUCCAACAACGAAAAGGAUAAGAUUGACAUGGACUUAUAGAAGACAUCUCAAAAUUAUGAGGUGACAACCUGUCACUCACGGGAAAAAGAAUUGGAUAGAUAAGAGCAAAUUGACGAGAAAGUAUAUCGCACCGGAAAGGAUAAAUGAAGAACUUGAAUCCUUUAUAAGCACCAUAAUAGCAAACAUCCUUAAAGAAGGCUUAAGGUGAAAUAUAAUCCAAGAUAACUCCAACGAAGAGGUUGAUGGAUUUAAAAUACCCCAUUCUCGAUAACUUGUGAAACAUGAAAUAAGAACUCAAAUUAUCAAGAAUGACAUAAUACCAUCUCCAAUAAUAUGGUAGAAAGAAUUGCACUCCUAAUUGCAAGAUGAAGAAACUUAAGCUCCUUAGAAAAGAAUGUUGAUGAACACUUCGAGAAGGAAAUUAAACCUUCAUGAAGAACUCCGGUAACAAAAAGAAUAACGAAAAUAAAAAUAAAGAGAAGUCGGAAAACACAAGGUGAAACCUUGUAAUUAUUUAGACGGAUCUCCGUGAUAAUUAGAGCUUGGAACUCCGGAAAAGAAAAGAUGAAGCACCUCGGACCGAGAAUGUGAUAUGAUGAACAACUCCGGGUUGAAGAAACUAGAUCACUUGGAUGAAACAAUAAUAAGAAUUACAUUAUGUGUAUCCUUCACCAAUUUAGAUUGAUGACAAGCACGGAUUUGGCAUACUACUUAUUCUCGUAGAAAGGAAUUAAAAUAGAUAUUGCGCAACCUUGGGAAGGUCUUCAAUGAACCACCGGUAGGAUUUGGAAAUAGUGAAUAAAUAAAUAUGAUAAAGGAGGAAGAGAAAUCUUGAACGAACCACCGUAAGAAUUGAAAAUGAACGAAGAAAAGAGAUGAAUCACCGGUAAGAAUUAGCAAAUGAACAAACAUACUUGAGGCAAUCUAGAUACAUGACAACGAAAGGAUCACGAAUUGAUUAGAGAAUAUUUGAAUGAUGCACCGGUAAGAUUUGGAGAACGAGAGCUGAAGGCUGAGAAUGAAUAAUUCUGAGAUGGUGGGCUCCGGAGAAUUAAACUGAAAAUACUCUGAAUUACUCCGGAUGGAUGAAAAGAAUAUCUCACAAUCGCAAAUAAUUAUGAGAGGAUGGCAACACGCUAGAAUCACGAAUCUUAAAGAGAAUGGAGCAAUAUUGAGAAAAAAAAUCUUCUUCGGUCUUCCAAUCUGAGAAUGACGACGAGAAACACCACCAUGAAUUAUUGAGGUACUCCGAAAUUAAAAUUGGAAAGGUUGAACCAAUGAUGAAAAGAAUUUGAAAGAUCUUGGCGAAAAACAUUUGACUGAUGACAGUUCAUUAUUACGUCAAACUUUGAAAAGAAUUUUACGGAUCUCUCUGGGAGAAUUAGAAAAGUCAGGUAAGAUCCUGGGAAAAGACCUGUGGGUUAGGGCCCACUCAAAAGAAACACCGUUGAAAUGAUUUCAAAGAGAGAAAGCACCAUUGAAUUAAAUGACUUGAAUGAGGGAACAUCCUCGAAAGAUCUUGAACGAAUGCAGAGUGGAAAACACAAAUCUUCGAGAUAUCUUCAGCACUCCGGAACAAUUAAAUAGCGAGAAGUGGAAUGGUUAUGAGGUGCACCGGCAUGAGAAAACAUUUGAAACGAGGAAAAGGAUGUGAUCAACAAAGCUUGACCUGAAACCACCGGAGAUGAAAAGAAUGAAAAAUGACGAACUUGGAGCUCCAUUAGAAUCUUCAUGAGAAUCACCAGAUAAGGACAUUGGCGGAAAAGGAAUGAAGAGACCUCACAUCAAUAAAAUGGAUACUUGAUGAAGAAAUCUGAGUCCUUGAAGAAACAAAGGGAGGGAGGGUGGGAAAAAACAAAGACAACCAGGGAAUGGAUGAAACAAACAACGUUGAGAGCUUAGAUUGAAUCUUACGGACGUAGAAAAUGGACGGACCCGCUUGAAGAGAAGCACACCGGUGGAAAAGAAUUGACGAGACAGUCUCGAUUAUCGAGAAGGAUUAGUACUCACAUAGAAGUAAGAGAACACCGCUUAGAAAAAGGCAUGGAAUCAUCAUUUGACUUCGAAGCAACUCGAAUACCACAACUGAAAACAAAACAAAGGAUUGGCUUGCAGAAUAAGCCGGAACAAACAUAUAAUAGAGAUUUUGUCCAAAGUUUUUGUGGUGGGGCCUACACGGGCUCGAUCGUACAUCACCAUCAUGUACAAGGCAGUGCACAUGACAUACGAAGCGUCCCCGAGUCGGCAUAGCCAAGGACUCUUUAAGACACAACGAGACCACUGUAAAAUCAACCGUGAAUAGGCGGACCACUAGACGUCGAACCCCAAUUUCAUAUCAUACAUCUGUCGGAAAGAAAUCCUAAGAGCUACUUGAAUUCUCACUUAUAAAUUCCCGAAAUUUUUCGGUUAUGCAAUCAGGUGUUAGGGAUACAGGGGAAGCAUAAUAGCUCACCCAAAUCUAGCAAAUCCUACAUCCAGCUGUAUCUAUCCUUCAACACAUAACCAAGAUACCUUCGGAAAUUGUCUACCUCAACCUUCGAAACUCAUCCGUUAUACAAGUUAUGGCAAUACUCUCGAACUCCCGCCCCAGUACUGGGUGGCGCCGAGGUUAUCUCACCAACGAACUGCAUAAAAGAGAUUUUCGAUGUCGGCGUACUAAACUCAGGUAUUUCAGAACUUCAACGAUAAAAUUGUGACGACAACACCUCGGAGCUCAACUCCCCGGGACACUGCCACAACCCCUAAAUGACAGGAGGCACCAAGAACAAUGUUCUCGUCACAAAUCCAUUGGAACGAUUCCAAGAUACCCGCGUGAUCCUAAAAUGUUUUUUUAGUGAAAUUUGAGAAAAGAAGAGUCAAAACUCUACAUCAGGAUGCCUUACCAGAGCGAUGAAGGGACUGGGGAGUAAAAAGAAUUGCUAAACUCUCCGAUAUAUAAUUCCUAGAUGACUCAAAACAAUUUUCUAGACUCAACAACGGCUGCUAAAAAUGAUCAAUCAGUGUGGGCACCUAAGGUCGGGGAAGGCUCUGAUACCAACUUGUAACGCCCCGAACACACCCGCCGGUGGUCGUUACUCCUGGCGGGAUCUAGACUGGCCCCAUAGAUCAAUACUAGUCUUUUCUGCGCACUUUGUCCUCACUCAUGCGCACCCGGGAGCAACUUCCCGGUCGGUCACUCAUCCUGACACUACUCCAAACUGAGCACGCUUAAUUUUGGAGUUCUGUCCGAAUGGGCUCCCGAAAAAGAAGGAAUUCCUUAUUGAUAUGAGUAGUCUAUCAUCCCUAAUAAGUCAGGCCAUCACAUACACCCCCACUCAGAGGAAUCGAUGUCCUCGUUGGGCCACAGGAACGCUCCCUCUUGGCACAUACGUCUGUGCAUCCAGUCCGAUACAUGUGCCAUGCCGGGUGCCACGACGGGUCACAAACGUCAUGAACAUGACCGCGCACCUGUCCGCAAACAUUCGUGUAACCGCAAGGGUCGGCUCUGAUACCAACUUGUAACGCCCUCGAUGCGGCUAUAUCUCCCACGUGUCGAAGCACGACUUAGAGGCAUAACCACAUUGAAAGCAAUGUCGCAAGUGAGGUAAUCUUCACACAACCCAUGUAAUACAUACGGGGAAAAGAUACAUAGUUGGCGUACAAUCGCCACUUCACACAAUACAUAAAUAAAGCAUUACAUCAUCUAGAUACAAUCAAGGCCUGACUAUGGAGCCAAAUAAAAGAAGAACCUCAAAUGCGACAAGGUCCUCGAUUGACCCCAACUGGGCUCCACUACUGCUCAACUAGAACGAAACAACACAAAGGACAAGAUCUUCAUCGAGCUCCUCCUUGAGCUUGGUAGCGUCAUCUGCACGGUUCAACGGCACCUGCAAGCUGGUUUUUGCAAGUAUCUGUGAGUAACGGGGACUCAGCAAUCUCACACCCUCGCGAUAAAGACUAUUUAAGCUUAUAGGAAGGGUAAAAGGUAUGAGGUGUAGCUGCAGCAAGCGACUAUCAUAUAUGGUGGCUAACAUACGCAAAUGAGAGCGAGAAGGCACAGCACGGUCGAUAAAAGUAUGAUCAAGAGGUGAUCCUAGAACAAUCUACGUCAAGCAUAACUCCAACACCGUGUUCACUUCCCGGACUCCGCCGAGAAGAGACCAUCACGGUUACACACGCGGUGGAUGUAUUUUAAUUAAGGUCAACUUCAGGUUUUCUACAACCGGACAUUAACAAAUUCUCAUCUGCCCAUAACCGCGGGCACGGCUUUCAAAAGAUCAUAUCCCUGCAGGGGUGUCCCAAAUUAGCCCAUGACAAGCUCUCACGGUCAACGAAGGAUAAACCUUCUCCCGAGACAUUCCGAUCAGACUCGGUAUCCCGAUUCUACAAGACAUUUCGACAAGUUAAAACAAAUCCAGCAACACCGCCCGAAUGUGCCGACAAAUCCCGAUAGGAGCUGCACAUAUCUCGUUCUCAGGGCACAUUCAGAUGAGCUCUCCAUACAACUAAAACCAAACCUCGAGUUUCCCCGAGGGGGCGCUGUACAGGACUCUAGUUUGGACCAACACUCAGAGGAGCACUGGCCCGGGGGGGGUUUAAAUAAAGAUGACCCUUGAGUCCGCGGAACCCAAGGGAAAAAGAGGCUAGGUGGCGAAUGGUAAAACCAAUGUUGGGCAUUGCUGGAAGAGUUUUAUUCAAGGCAAACUGUCAAGGGGUUCCCAUUAUAGCCCAACCGCGCAAGGAACGCAAAAUCCAGGAACAUAACACCGGUAUGACGGAAACUAGGGCGGCAAGAGUGGAACAAAACACUAGGCAUAAGGCCGAGCCUUCCACCCUUUACUAAGUAUAUAGAUGCAUUAAUUAAAUAAGAGAUAUCAUGAUAUCCCAACAAGUAAACAUGUUCCAACAAGGAACAACAUAGCCAUGUUCCAACAAGGAACAAACUUCAUCUUCACCUGCAACUAACAACGCUAUAAGAGGGGCUGAGCAAAGCGGUAACAUAGCCAAACAACGGUUUGCUAGGACAAGGUGGGUUAGAGGCUUGGUUCAACAAUAUGGGAGGCAUGAUAAGCAAGUGGUAGGUAUCACAACAUAGACAUAGCAAAAGAGCGAGCAUCUAGCAAGCAAAGAUAGAAGUGAUUUCGAGGUUAUGGUCAUCUUGCCUGAAAUCCCGCAAGGAAGAAGAACGAUUCCAUGAAGAAGACAAACGGACGUAGUCGAACGGGUCCUCACAAACGCUACGUUAUCGGAAACAACCCGAAGAAGCCACACCAGAAAGAAGCACACAGCAUAGUAAACAACCAACACGUAAUCAUGGCAUGAUGCACAAUCAAGUAUGAUGCAUGUCCGGUUUAAUGAAGCAUGGCAUGGCAAAGUACACAAACAACACUACAAGUUAAGUGGCGUUGCAUAUUGACGAAACACCACGUGACUUAUUUAAUUCUCUCUCGUUUAUGUACUCAACAAUAUUAAAUGUUGAUAAGCAUGGCAAGAGGUGGAGCAAAUGAAAACUACCUAUCUAGUCAAGUUUAAAUGAGGCCGGAAACAACGAACAACAAUUCCGGAAACUCCUCAUAUGCAUAUAUUAGGUUUGGUACUGUUCUGCCCUAAACAUAAUUUUAGAGUUGUUAAGCAUGCAAAAUAAGGCCACCGUGUUAAACUAGGCAAAAUUCUACCCCAUUUACAUAUAAAGAUUAUUAGAAUCGGAGCUACGGUUAUUUAGUUAUGAAUUAAAUCAUUUUUACAUGGCAUAGGGGAAAAUACAUGCAAACAUCAUUUUAAACAUUUUAAACAUGGAUGAAAGUGACAUAUUAUUAAUCUACAUAAAAUUCUAAGCAAGAUUCAUAUAUUAAGUUUUUACAUGUGAUGCUUAGUUAAUAAGUUAUUAUAUGCAUGAACUAUGAUGGGUUUUCUGUAAAUCUGCAAACUCCUGGAUAAAUAGAUAAAUCGCAGAUCCUAAAAAAAACUAUACGAGCCGAAACAAAGGCCAGCCCACAUUGCAUAGGGGCUCAUGUGCUGCUCACCAUGGGCCAAAGGCCCAGAUCUGGAGUGGUUCGGCUUGACUGGACGGCUGGGACGAGCUGGGCCUGGCCGAGGCGGUUGCUGGGCGCACGCGGUCAACGCGUGGCUGGACCGAGCGAUGCAGGCGCUCGUUUUGCUCGCACUAAACAGGGGCGCUGGCGGCUGGGAGCAGAGCUCCGGCGAGCGUGGGAAACGGCGGCGAGGCGAGGGACUUGGCGUGGCGUCGGCUUGUGGAAGAGCAACAACGAUGGAACUAGGUGCGGGCGAGGGACUUCGCGCUCGAGACGGACAGGAGGGCGCCGUCCUCGUCAGGAACCCUCGAAGACGACGACGACAGAGACUGCGGCAGGCAACGACGCAGCUUGGGCGGCGGAGCUGGAGCGAGGGAGGCGGCUGAGGGAGUGUGGUUGCCGGAGACGCGAUCCAGGGUGGCGGGAGUUGGGGCUCCAUGGCCACGGCGAGGAGUUCCAUGGGCGAAGGCACUAUUCGUUCCUGCAGGGAGGCGGGGUGAGAGGCAGAGAGAUCGUGAGCGAGAGAGAGGAACAGAGAGGAAAAAAAGGAGAGGUAAAGGGAGGCGCUGGAGUAGAAUCUCAUGUGCAUGCUCGCACACGAGCGCGAGGCUCUCCUCGGGUGGCUCCUGGAGGCAGCGCAAGGUUGAGGUGCUCGGGGAUGGCGCAGGUCACCGUAGACGAGGUGGCAGAGGCAGGAGACGAAGCUGCUCGAAGCUCUCACAUGGCGGCGUUGAGGGAGCUCGAGAGGAGGCUCGGAUGGAUUGGCUGGAUCUGAACACGAGGAAGGAAAGUGGUUGCUGCGAUUCGUCUCGGGUGGAACUGGAUCGGGAGGGGAUCCCGAUGUGGGAGACGAGUGGCGGCGGGGAGGGACAAGCCUCCUAGGUUUUAGGGUUAGGCUAGAUUUGGUAGGUGGUGGUCUAUAAAUAUAAGGAAAAGAGGGAGUUUGGAUCCUCCGAUCAAAAUCGGAUGGUUCAGAAAGAAUAGGUUAGGGAGUCCAAAUAAGAAAACGGUGACAUUUUGUAGACGUUUGGGGAUGAUCCGGAUCCAACGGUGACGACUGCCCGGGUCGGGUCCGGGACAAUCUCGGACGCGCACGUGAGGGGUUCGAUGCACUGUGCAGAGAGGGUUUCGGACCGUGCGGUCGCAUCAGACAACUUCGGAAGCGAAGAGGGGAAGGAGGAUGGACUAGGUGGGUUGUGGCGAGACUGCGAGGGGAAGAAGAGAAAGAGAGGGCCCGGCAUCUGUUUCCGGAGACCGAAAACGUCGUUAGACCGGUAAUAAUGGCGCUAUUGUUAAUCGUUGGGGCGUCAAACGAACUCCGAAUGCGAUGAAACUUGACAGGCGGUCUAUCUAUACUAUAAUAAGACCACACGCCAACUUUCAUCCCAUUCCGAGAACAUUUUCCGGCCACUUAUAAAAUACUAUUACGGACAUGUCGCGGGCGCGUGCGAGUGUGUCUGGAUUCAGAACGGACAACGGAAGGAACGGGGAGAACCCGGACGGAUGCAAGUUUUGAAAACAUGAUGAUGCAAUACACAUGAUGACAAGAUAUGCAAUGCAUGACACGCAAGCAACGACAACACAACAAUAGCGAAUAACUGGAGGACAACUGGCACAUCGGUCUCGGGGCGUUACAACAUAGAUGAGAAAGCUAGUUAGUAUCAACAAAUAGGGUUCACUGUAGUUGGUUGAUCGUCAUUACCAAUGGGCAUGGACAUCGGUGUUUGUGUUUCAUCUUCAUGGACACUGAUAUCGGCGGAAGCGUCAGCCAUUUUUUUGUUUCUUUAGGCGUGACGUUGUCUCUUUAAUAUUUCGUCUCUAUUUUGUGAAUACCGUUCCCUAUCCAGUCGCCUCUUCAGCUCCGUAGGGUCUACAUGUAUGAUUUAGAGUAUCAUAAGUUACCUGAAUAAUACGUAAGCAUGCAGUAUAUGGCCAUACUUACUUUGGGACAUGGCUAGGGGUGUGUCUGGCACAUUUUGCUCAUCAUUCGGCAGAGGUUUAUCAUUCUGCUUCUUUAAACGUGCCUCACGACGUCUUUUCAGAAUGUCCUCUCUAUUUCGUGCAUAAUAUUCUUUGUCCCUCUGCCUCUUAAUUUCUUUAGGGGCUGUUUAAAUAUACAAUGGAAAUUAGCACAUUUGUUAUAGAAGUGUUCAUCAACCCAGAAAAAAAGAAGCGCUCAGUUGGCUGAUAGUUACCCGAGGAAUGGAUGUUGCUUAUAUCCUGAAAUGGGGUGCGUGCCCCCGAGUGAUUUGGAGAAGUCAUAACGUCGACUUCGUAGACUGAAUACUCCAGUCAAAAAUCUGUCAAGAGGGUUGACUGGAAGCAUAUAUUAGUUAGAAUUAGAUUCAAGUUAUGUUGUCAUAAAUCUGUAGAUUGCAUUUUCUUAAAGCACAAGGAAGUUAGAAGAUAACUUGCAAGAACAAGAAGAAAUGUGUAAUAUUAAAAUCUUGCCUGAUGUUUUCAGAGGAUGACACAGGUGAUGCAAGGAACUGACGACCUGUUUGCAGCGAGAAGGUGAGGCAGGAGCAGCCGCGCAUCUAAUGGCCAGUGGAGGGCGGCGAGGGAAGGCGGCGGUGUUUUCGUGCGGCGAGGUCGCCGUCCAGGAAGGCGAAAGCGAUGAUGUUUCUGAGCGGCAAGGGGAUAUCGGUGGGAUAUGUUUCUUGUUUUUGGAUUUGGAUUUGGAAGGUCUAUUAUUAUUUGUGGGAAUGGGGGAUACGUGAUUGUAGGGAUUGUGUUUCCUUUCGCAUGGAAGUUUUUCUCCACGGUGGAGUACGGUCAGUCAAUGUAAAUUAGUAAGUGCACACCAGAAAACAUAUCAGGUGAAGGCUAGCCGUUGGAUAUAUAUUAGUGGGGAUAAUCAUGCGGUAGUAGUGGGUUCGUGUAUGUUUUGUGGGGUGCGUUUAACAAAGAUAAUGUUUGCUCUUUUAUUAGUAGUGGAUGGAAGUGGAUAGUGGAUGGAUUAGGACAACUCCACCGC